AGAAAAAACCGCUCCUCCUCCUCUUCUCCGCGUCCCCACCACGUGCUCCACCUCCGGGGCCCCACUCUCUUCGUUGCGCCCCCACCACGCCCCGCGUCCGCGCCUCCCCUGCCUCCUCAACUCCUCGUCAUCGUCGGUUCCCCUGUGUGCCUCCCUCGCCGCCGCCGCCGCCGGGGGCGGUUCCCUACUCUGCCUCCCCCACCACGCCUCCCACAUCGCGCCGCCCCCAUCGCCGCGCCCCCACAACACCUCCACCGUCGGCACCCCCAUCGCGACACCCCUGAGCUCUGCAUCGCCGCCGACCGCCGCUCCUGCUCGCCCUCAUCUACGACGCCGCCGUCACUACCCUCUCUUCGCUGCGCUGCCUCCCUCCCCGGCGUCCCCAUCCCCUCCUCGCCGCGCCACUUCCCCAUCUGCCGCCCCGCCUGCUUACCUCCCCGGCGUCCCCAUCCCUUCCUCGCCACGUCGCUUCCCCAUUCACCGCCCCCGCUGCACGCCUCACGCCGCAACCCCGCAGCGGAACCCACCGGCGAGCUAACCGCCGUCCCGGCAGGUCGCCGUCAAUCGCCGUCGCCCCGCAGGUCGGCGUUGCACUGCAGAGGGAUUUCCCCGCCGAACGGUCGCCGCAGCAGGUCUACGCCACCUUCUUCCCACGCCGACUCCAUGUCUAAUCCCUACCUCACCACAGUUUCAACUUGUGGUUCCAGCUGAAGCAAUUGGAGAUUUAUUAAAUCUAAGGCUACAUGCUAGGCUGCUAUGAGAUGUAGAUCAAAUAGGCUAUCCUAUUAGAUGGUUAUUGAGCAAGCAUGUUUAUACCAAACAGUCAUUUUGUUUGUUGCUGGAACUAUCAGGUUGCCAUAUAGGCAUGCUAAAAAACCGUCAGGAAGUGUACAAGCUUACAAGCUGUAAAUAAACGGAAUGAAGAGCAAUAGAUCAUCUGUUAGGUUGCCUUCGGUUUUGAACAAGCGCUAUAAGGUGGUCGAAGAAAUUCUAUUAUUUUAUUUACCAUUGAUUGGCUAUCUGUUGAUGCUUUUAUUAUUCAACCAAACUGGUGGAGGAGCCAAGGUCACAGUAAUCUUAUUAAAGGUAGUACGUACUUAUAGAACCUCCAUUUUCAUCGGUACAUGUGAGAGUGAGCUUUAAUAAUGUAUUCCAUGAUGAAAUGUAUUCCAUAGCAUUAGGAUUGGAUGCUACAGGGAGACAAAUCUCGGCUGUGUCAUGUAUUCCAUGAUGCAAAGUUGAUGUUGGCUAUUGU
rnacentral:lncRNA from 1 species